rnacentral:rRNA from 1 species
UACGUAGGGGGCUAGCGUUGUCCGGAUUUAUUGGGCGUAAAGAGCGUGUAGGCGGCCAGGUAGGUCUGGUGUGAAAACUCGAGGCUUAACCUCGAGAUGUCAUCGGAAACCAUCUGGCUAGAGUCCGGAAGAGGAGAGUGGAAUUCCUGGUGUAGCGGUGAAAUGCGCAGAUAUCAGGAAGAACACCAAUGGCGAAAGCAGCUCUCUGGGACGGUACUGACGCUGAGCACGCGAAAGCGUGGGGAGCGAACAGG